rnacentral:misc_RNA from 1 species
AAGAGAUGCUUAGUUUAUCCAGCAUGUCUUCUAUUUGCAGAGUUGAUGUCUGAAUUUCAGAAAGAAAAUGGGUAAGUAGCAAGGAAAAGUUUACCCAAAAAGCUAGAAUAAGUAUUCUCCUUUGUGCAGCUAAGUUGUAGGGCAAAACCAAGAAGAAAGGUAUAUCACAAUAAUCUGACAAACCUCAAAGUUUUCAGAACAAUAA